rnacentral:lncRNA from 1 species
CCACUACAGGAUGAAGAAAUCGAUUCGGGCCUUCUAGAAAAUAGUGAGAUUCGAGUUUCUGAUGUUCAGUCCCAAAGAGUAAAGGGGCAGAUUAUCGACACUUAAUUGCUGAGGGUCAAUCUCCAUCCCAAUUUGUUUCAAAUGACCCUUGUCCUAAUGCUUAAUUGGAUCUCCGCUAACAGCAGUGUCGGGGCAACCCAUGAGAUGUGAAAUGAAAGCUGUUAGCCCCACCGUUGCCUACAUGGCAACAAUUCUGGAGUAACAGACAACCGAGGUACUCGAGCUCACUGGGCAACGCAAACAAAAGACCUGAAGACGAGAGGAUGACCAUGGAGUUGUUCAUGUGACAAAUUGUGACGAACGCCCGGGAGUAUCUUCUGGAUUUCUGCCCCCCAAAAAAAUGGACUUUCUAUGUCAAGCUGGCCAUCUCCGAGUCUCGGACAAGAGAGAAUUGGGGCCGUCGGUCCAGUGAGAAGAGUGACCGGUGUCGAUGAUCGACUUACAUUAAAAGUUUUCACACCGCCUCUCAGCAUGAGCAACGCGGUAGGGCAAAAGAUGACGAGGAUGCAAUGUUAGUGGAAUUUCAGUAUUUCCGCAAUGAAAAUUUUCAUAAGGAAAGGCUAUUACAACUUUCUGCAUCUCCCAAGUAUACAGUAAGGCUAUUACGACUUUCUUGCUACUCUAGUCUCUCACAAAGGGGUGCAUUGGCAUUCAGGAAUCACAGAAUAAGUUUCACACUGCCGGCUUAACUCAUGAGAGAGACAUUUGCCACCUUCGCAGGAUGGAUCCUUUGCCAUUGCUCCUGCAUACUUAGCGCAAGAGAAUGUGGUGGAAAGGGAAUUACCGGAGGAAUGAAUGCGAAAUGAGGAACCGGAGGAAUACUAACGAAAUGAGGCAUGGAAAUGUAUGAGCUAGUGUGCAGAAAUUUUGUGGCAAUCCAAAUUCAUUUGACUCCAAUGUCGAAUAUGCACCCCAAAAGGAAAAAUGACAAAUACGAUCCAUUCCAUUUAGGAUGCUCACUCCGUUGUUAAAUAUUCUACCUAGCGAGAGAAAAAGAGUCCAGGCUGCAAUCGCAAUUCGCAUCCCAGCGCUGAUUCAGCAUAUGCUAAACAUCUACUCGAGAUCAAUUAACACAGGCAAAUAUAAAAGCAUGGGUAGCUUGUCCAAAAGUUGCGAACAAGGGCCGUGCACACUGCAUUUUAUACAUGGUGAAAGGUUUCAUGUCCACUGGACAAUUAAGAGAUGAAAUUUAACCUCAGUGUUGAUCCAGCUGGCUUCUCAAGGAAACAUAGUGUAGUGCUCAUCAUCUUUGUGAUCGAGAAAAGUUGAAUCACCAGAUCCUUCAAACAUCUCCACAUAUAUCAGUGCAUCGAUGCCUAACUACAGAUGGGCCAUCUCACUAGCUCAACAUCUACUCACGCUCUAUCUGAAUAGUGACAUGGCUGAUGUUAUAUUCUCUUCUGAUGAAGUCAACAACCUUGUUCAGCACCAUGUCCGCAUUGGCUUCACGCUUUAUUUUAACAUGGCAAGCCAGCAAGACUUUCCCGACUGUUAUUGCCCAGAUGUGCAACUCAUGCACUGCAGUCACAUCAUCCAUCUCGCACAGACCCUGUGACAGCCUCGUGGCAUCAAUCUCCCUCGGUGUGCUCUCCAUGAGAACCUCCAAAAUAUUCCGAAGCAUUCUUAUUGUAGUGCCCAGCACAAUCACUGAGAAUAUUAGGGUACAUAUCAAAUCAAUGAUCUUCCACUCGGGCUUAUACCAUAUGAUGGCUCCACCAAUCAUCACACCAACACUCUGAAUCGAAUCUCCUAGCACAUGAAGAUAAGCACCCUGUACAUUAAUAUUCCAUUGCUUCUUCUGUUUCGGCCCACUCUCUUUCUCGUUAUUGAUAUCACAGCAACCCUUGACCAAUGGCUCUGUAAGAUCUGUUUCAUGGCCAUGAUGAUGAUCAUGCUCAUGAUGAUGUUCCAGAAAUUCUUUAUCAUGAUGGUGGUGAUGUGCAUCAGCUGUGACUUGGGGUUUUGGGUUAUGUCCAGCAUGAUCCUCGUCAUUAUGGUCAUGGCUUCCAUGGUCAUGACCAUCUCCACUAUGCCGGUGAUCGUGAUCAUGGCCUUGACUGUGACCGUGACCAUGUUCGUGACCAUGGCCGUGACCGUGACCGUGACCAUGACCAUGGUCGUGACCGUGGCCAUGACCCAGCAAGAGUGCCAUGGCAAUAUUAACCACUAAACCAAAGGCAGAAACAAGAAACAUUAGAAAACCCCGAACUUCACCUGUAUCAUGGAUCAGCCUUUCGAUGGCUUCAUAUACGAGAAUCCCAGCAAGAAGCCAUAUCAUUUGAAUAGACACGAGAGCACCAAGAAUCUCAAUCCUGAAGAAACCAUAGGAUUGGCGAGGUGUUGCCUCCCAUCCUGAAGCCCACAGAGAGAAUAAGGAUAUAGCAAAUGCAGCAACGUCUGACAAUAGAUGAGCUGCAUCUGUUAGAAUUGCUAGACUGUUCGCUUUGAUGCCUCCAACAACCUCUACAGCCAUGAAUACUAUGCAGAGGACAACUGCCACCAAAAGUUUCCUCAUAGAUGCUGACCGCUCCUUUUCAUCUUGAGAACUGGCACUAGAAUCUUUAAAUCCACAGGGUGCCUCACCACAAAUUUUCAUCCUGCCUGCGCCUGUUUCUGCUGGCACUUCCCCACAAACUUCAAUUAUAUGUCCACUUUCACCACUCCGAGCUUCCAUCUGAAAACAAUCCCAGAAUAACAUGUCAAAGGAUUUAAUGCAAAUGCCAAGUAUUUCAUAUAACAUAUAUACCCACUUUACAUUAAAACAAGAGUAAUCUAGAAGAAUCUCUAGAUAAAAAAUACACGCACAUGAAAAACAGAUUAGCAUAAGAAAAUGUGAUGUCAAAUGGUUGAAUAAUAAAAUAUGCAGCUUGCAGAGUCAUUUGAUUGUGACGUGCCAAAUUAUAAGCCCCAUGCCACAUAGAAUCAAAGAAGAAACUUACACUUCAAAGGCUGGAUCACUCUAUGCUAAAAGCAGAGAAUAAAAGAAAGAAAAAGGAAAAAAGUAGCUUACCCUAAAAUUCCAGUCUAAUACCAAAAAGACAAGUAUCUUAUGGAAACUUAUCGUUUGAAUUUUCUCUAUUUCAUAUUCCAGUAUUUCAAUCUGUGAAUAGCACUGAGUCUAAUCUUAAAAAGUAUCACAAUUUAAUACCUCAGCAAUCUUUUUUUGGUAGAUGCAAGAUUCCCAAAAGACAGAUUCCAAAGUACACCUUCAUAUCCAUCAAAAAAGGAAGCCUCAAAUGCCUCUCAAUGAACAUUUAGAAUUCUAGUUACUUCAAAGUUCAAACCAAAGCCAUUGAACAUACCAUCAUGACCGUAAACUAAUGCACUUUAAAUGAGUAUCUAAAUCUACGUAUAGAAUUUUCAACACAUAUGUCAAUGGCCCAAACAUCGCCUCCUAUCUGAAUACUCACCUUUUGACUGAUAUACAAACCCAACUGGAAAGCAUAUUAAUUUCCAGAUAACUGGGACAAUUCUGCAUGUGGUCUCUAAAGCAUAUACCAUAAUGCAGCAAGAUUCUCAUCUAGUUGUCCAUUCUUUGGAAGCAUGACAUGUAAAUUCCUAAUUGAUGCUAGUGAUGCAACUACUGUUGGCCAAACCACAGCCUGCAACUAUUAAUGUAAUGAUGAAACUAGCUUGAGGAACAGUAUUCACUAAUGCCGAAUUAUUAUUAUCUUUCUUUUUGCUAACCUAUAAGUUCCUCGAUUACCAUGAUGCAAAAAUUAGUAGCACUCCACAAAAUUAACUGGUGAGUGCGCAACUGAAUGAAAAGUAAACAGGAAUUUUAUUCAAAACAAAAAUUGUUAAGCUUGGAAUCUUACCAAUGUCUUGACACACAUAUGGAUUGUGUAACUAAUUAAUACCAUAAAAUUCUAAAAACGUACAGCUAUACCAAAAUGUCAUAAAUGAGUGCAAAACUGAGAUUCCCACUGCAGACACUUUUCUCCCCAUCCCUCUCAAGUAUAUACAAUGCCGCAUCCUUUUCACAUCUAUAUCAGAGGAGACUCUAAAAUCUAGAAAACAAUAAUUGAACUCUAUAUACUAAUCCCAUACAUGACAAUUAAACACUAUCCAAGAUUCUCCAGCGUCCAUGUUUCAGACUAAUCAGACUUCGGAUUGGGACAUUUGGAACUAAAUAAGAUUGUAACUCACAUCCUUAUAAAUAAUUUGAAAGCCAGAAAUAUCUGAGACUUGCAAAGAUUCAGUAACAAUGAGUUUUGAGCAGAUGUAAUUAGUUUGACUCAAGCCAUAACUGAUAGAGCAUGGUGCGAAAUCUACUAUCCCAUGGACCAUGUCCGUGACUGGGUCCCUUUCAGAAGUUUUGUCCACUUUUCACUAUAUUUUAAUCCUCCUGGCUCUUUUCAAUCAUCAUCCAUUUAUGCUGUCAUUAUGCAAGGCAUCAAAGCAGAAGUUCAUCAAAUGUUAUGCAUUAAAGUAGAAUAAAAAACUCAGAGCAGCCAAACUCUGAAAAGCAAGGACACUUUGCUCAAAAUACAUUGAAUCCAGCAUAGUCAACUCAAUGGGUCACCCUGAUAGUUAUCAAAAAAAGCACAAGCGACACAGAAAAUAACUGGCGUUAUCAACCAUCCAAGCAACAAUCGCCACUGAAAUUCAACGUGCCAUCACAAAUUUUGGAUCCACUCUGUUUCAAGUAGAAGAAAACACCACUCAAGCAUGUAAACCAAGCAAAAAUAUCGCAAUCAUAGAAACCUAUCCACUCCGGCAAAUCGGAUGCACUCCUCAAUGACUUCCACCACAUAUACAAACACUGAAACCUAAAAUUAUGCAAGGAAAACCCAAAAAACCAGGCAUGUGGAGCAAAUUGACAGUAAAAUAAAUAAAUAAAACAAAAACACAGAGCAAAGAAUUUUCACAAGGUCCAACGAACAAAACAACCGCAGAAACAAACCUCGAACAUACGAAUUCUCAAUUGCUGAAUCUCUAUCAAGCGUGCGCGUAAACACAACAAACAAAAACAUCAACAACAACAAAAAAAGAAACCCAUGUCCGCAACCAGGAAAAUACAACACCCCUCGCAAAACUCGACGCAAGCAAGUCUUCCAGAGAUAGAUGCUGAGAAUCACGCGACGCAUCAGCCAUGCAAAGCCCAGAAACUCGCACUGAACCCACCACAACCAAAACCCAUCUCGCAAAAUACCCACAGACACGCCCUGCACACCGCCGAAAAGUCCAAAACCUCCUCCUCCCGCUACAAAUCGACAUAAUCUCUCAGACUGCAUUCGCAAAACAACCCAUCGAUCGAAUUCCCACGAGCAAAAGAAGAACCCGACGAGAAUCAAACGACGACUAGAACACGCAGAGAGGACCACGCAAGAAGCCAUCGAAGGAAGCGAUCGACUUUAGCCUGGCGACGUCAGGCAAGCGAGCAACUACCGUCUCCUCAAAUUUCCACGGCGGUUCGACUUCUUGGACAUGUUCAAGAUACCCUCGGCUUAGAAUUUAUUCUAAACUUCGGUCUUAGAGUUUUAGCGUUGGUGUGGAGAAAAAUCAGGUUGUUCCAUAUAAAUAAAUUAUCGUGUCAAUUUAUUCUAAACUUCGAGUUGUGGAGCAUUACGGUACAUGCAUUUUUAUAACACAAUAUUUGGCCAAGACAUCGGACGGCAAGAUUGAGUUGUCCAUUUUGAUGAAAAAGGCUGAUAGGGUCAAGCAUAGGGAGUGAGAACGCACAAAGAAGAAGAAAGAGCAAAGAGAACUUUUGGCACACGAAAAAAGAUGAAGCUCUUGAACACACCAUGAUUUGUACCGUGAGAUCUGCAUCCAAUUGAAUAGUUAAUUUAAGUGUGGAAAACACUCAAAUAUAUAAAUAAUUGUAACUCUGAAACUCCGAUUAUUAAUGAAUUAUUUGUUGCUAAUUUUUCUUUUAGAGUAGGUAUCAAUAUUUAAAUCAAAUUACGUAAAUCUCGAAUGUUUUUAUUAUUUAAUGUUUAUUUUUCUAAUGAUUUCGCAUUAAUUUAAUUACAAGAUCCAAUUGUUUUCUGCUUUAAUCUCGAAACACAUACUUUGUCCACCUGAACGAAUGUAAUUUGACAUGACGACCUAUGGAAAAUGCCUUGGUAGGCAAAUACGAGAUCACAUCAAGGUCAAGACAAAAUCGACUCUUCCUUUUAUAUUUUAACUACUUUAAAGCACACGGCUCUCCAGUGGGUGGGUUCCAAGUGAAGUUUUUAAAAGUCGGGAGCAUUCUCCAAAAUGUAAUUUUCUAGAGUCUGAUAUUUGUAUAACAAAAUGGAGCAACAUCGAGAAUCUCUCAACAGCUAAAGUAUUGGACCCAAUUCGACCAAAAAAAGGCAUAAGACCCAAGAAAUAAAAGGGGAAGAAAGCGUACUUUUCACCAACAGACGGUAAUUAAAGGAUGAUGCUAAUCGAAUCUACCAUCAAAAUCCAGAAAAAUUCACUGGCCCACCCGGGAGAGGAAAGAAAAGGUACAUUUUCCAGUGAUUGAUUUUCACUAACACGUCAGAAUUGGAAAAACAAGCCUACCAAAAGUUGACCUCGAUUCUUCUUUUAAAAUUGGGUAAAUAUCAUGAAAAAUCCAAAACUGGUACACCUGUGACAAAUUUACCCCAUGCUAUUUUUUUUACCACCAAAAACCCUAAAAUAGUAUACCUUUGACAAAUUUACCACAAACUGGUAUACUUGUGAUAAAUUUAUCAUAUGUUAGUUUUUGUUAAAUUUUACCGUCAAAUUAUUAAGUUAAAUAAUACGUGACAAUUGACUGGUCUACCAAUUUUGGAUUUUACACUCCAUUUGUCAUCGUUUACAAUUUUUGUGAUUUUUUGUGGUACUAUUUCAAUUUAGCAGAGGGUAUAUUUGUCACAAAUUUAUCAGUUUGGAGUUUUUUGCAGUCGAAUAAAUUAGUUUGGGGUAAGUUUGUCAUAGAUGUACCAAUUUAGGAUUUUUUAUAGUCAGUCAGGGUAAAUUUGUCACAGGUAUACCAGUUUGGAGUUUUUUAUGGUAAAAAAAAUAGUUUUUGGUAAAUUUGUCACAAGUGUAUCAGUUUGGAGUUUUUUAAGGUGUUAACCCUUAAAAAUUCCAAGUGUGCCGACAUAAUCUGUCGGCACAUGUUUACUGUUGUUGCUAGUUCAAAUCUUUUUGGCUAGCAGAAAGUGACGCGGGUGAGUACUGCACAAUAGCAAGAGAGAACCGGUGGGCAAUCCAUUGGAAGCCGUAUCAUAAAGGCCUCAUUUGAUUAAGCAUUCCCAAGUAACUUUUAGCCCUAAAAGUCCUUGGGAAAAAAUUUAGAUAUUUGGUUCAGUAUUUGAAAGUGUCAUUGGCCAAAUGCUGACCUUUGAAAUGCUGAAAGCCCAAAGCAGGUCACCUGCUUUGGGCUUUUAACAUUUCCGAAAUGCAAGUCCAUCUUUACUAUUCAUCCGUUAACUUUUUUUUAAACCAAUCAUCUUCCCCACAUCCCAACCGUCGUUGAUCAGCGACGGAGUUUUAUCGGAUUUUAUUUUUAUUUUUUAAAAAAAUAAUAAAAACUCUUUGCAAAUGGUGGGUUCACCUCUUUUUUUUUGUUAUUUUUAUCUUUUGACAAUCAAUAGCCCAACUUUUUAUCAAUACACUAGAAUGAUCACUAAUUAACAAAGAUGAUUAAUACUACAAUAAUUUUAAAAAAAAAUAUUCAAAGUUGAAAACAAACCUAAAAGAACCCUAGACGAAAAGUUGAGCUUUGCAUCUCCUCUAUAAUCAAAUUGUUUUAAUAUAAUUUUUAAAUAAAUUUACUAAUAUAUAUCUUUUAUAUUACUUUUAACAUGAAAAUAUAAAAGGUUAUAUAGUCAUUGUUUCUUUUUUGCAAUUUUAAAAAUACUAAAACUAAAAAAUUUAAUUUGGUAACACUAAAAGGUUUUUCAAAUAUAUGUUUACCAAACAGUCUUACAUUUCCCUAAAUCACUUUUUAGUUAUAGUUUACCAAACAGUCUAUUUCACGCCCCAAUCCUCGAGCAUGCACACAUCCUUCUCACUUGGUCGAUUUUAUAAUGCGAUAUUCCAGGACUAUGUAUCGCCGACCCUUUUAUUUAUUAAGCACAUGCGGAAGCAGUUAUAAUCUCCAGACAAUAAAUACGAUGGGAUAGAAAAGCAAUGCCAUAUUUUUCAUAUUGAAACUUAUAACCUAACUUUUAUACAAAACACAAACCAAAGUACUUCAUUACUAUUCACAUCAAAAUUGAGAUCUCAAAAGAAGAUGGAAUCUCAGUCCAAUUCAGUUCAAUCAGUCAAUCCAUGACAAACGAAUCAAACCAUAUCAAUGAUUUCAUCUAUACUCGAUAAUUAAUCUCAACAUUCCCAUUCAACAUUCCCACUCAAAUAUAGGCUCAAGGCGCUAGAGGUGACCCCAACACAAAGUCUCGUCAUCGUGCAGUACUUAGUCAUUGACCACAAAUAACAAUAGUAUAAGGCGCUAGAGGUAACUCACACGAAAUCUCGCUGUUGUGUAGUACUUAGUCCUUCACUACAAAAUGCAAUAGGAUAAGGCGCUAGAGGUGACUCACACAAGAUCUUGCCAUCGUGUAGCACUUAGCCAUUCACUAUGCAUAACAAUGAUGUAAGGCACUAGAGGUACUUCCCAUGCGACUCAGGUCGUCAUGUAACACUUAGCCCUUAACUACAAUAAGCAAUGGUAUCAGACGCUAGAGGUAACUCACACGAAGUCUUCUACUUGUGUAGUACUUAGUCUUUUACCUGCUCAUGAUCCAUUGGUUUCCCUCAACACAACACACAUCACAUCACAUCAACUUCCAAUAAUCAUCUUGCUUCAACUAUAAGCCAACACACAAUUAAUCCCUCACGGCCCAAUGACAUUAUGCCUCGCACUUAACUUCCUCAAUUAAAGUAAUGUCUUGACCUCAUUUCUUCGUAUUAGAAAUAUUCAAUAAAAUAUCGUGUGUGGACACACGGCUGGCCUUAGCCAAAAUCUAAUAUUUUCCUUUCCAUAACUCCCACAUUUUCUAUAGUCCGCUCAAAUAGUUUUGGCAUUAUCAACCGAUGUCCGGUUAUUUUUCAAUUAAUAACCAAUGAUUUUCCAAUUAAAGAAUAAUUCCCAUCCUUUGCAAAUAAUUCAAUUCAACACAAAAUAAAGCUCCAUUAAAUAAACGGACUUCACCGCGAUGAUCAUCAUGAAAUUUCGGUCGUCGAAUAACCCAACCUUAAUUUCCGAAAAAUAAAUCAUUAAUUAAUUAAUUUCGAAAAUUAAUAAUUAAUUACAAUAAAUCCAAUUUAGCUCAAAAUAAAGCCCAAUUAAAUAAACGGGCUGCACCACGAUCAUCAGCAUAAAAAUUCGGCCACUAGCCAUCCAAGUUGAAUUUCCAGAAAAUAAAUAAUUAAAUAAUUAAUUUCGAAAAUUAAUAUUUAAAUACAAGAAAUUCAAUUUAGCUUAAAAUAAAGCCCGGUGAAAUAAACGGACUUUGCCAUGGUCAUCAGCAUAAUAUUCCGAUUACUGGCCAUCACUGUUGAAUUUUCGGAAAAUAAAUAAAUUAAUUAAUUAAUUCCGAAAAAUAAUAUUUAAAUGCCAAAAAUUCCACUUAAGCCCGAAUUACCAAAUUGAAGCCCGAUUAGGAUCGGGAAAAAUCCCGGGCUACCCUCAAUAAAUAGUAGACCGCGUCUACUUGCUAAAUACAUAUUCAAUUUGUCUAAUUUGUAUCACAAUUGACUAAUAAACACUAAUCUAACAAUCUAAAUCUAAUUAAAUAAAACUAAAAAACCAAUAAGUGUCAUUAGCUCACUAAGCAAGGAUUAGUGAGAUUACUCACCGGAAUGGCGCGCAAAUCGGAUCAAUCCGACGGGGACGGCGCGAUGAACGAUUCCUUCCAAAGCACGGCUCGGGUUCGAGUCCCGGAAACGGCCCAAAACCACCCACGAGUGUGCUGGAAACCCACUCGGUGGGUUGCUGGUUUGGCUGCAAAACAGAGAGGAAGUGAGUUGGUUGGGGGCGGCAAGGGGUCGGGAAGGUAGGUGGCGGCUUGGCGAGGCCGAGCGGUGGCCCACGGUGGCCGGAGGUGGUCGGAUCGUGGCUUGUGAUGGCUGAAUCGAGCUGAACAGAGGGCGGCACGGGCGGCUGGUCCAAUCUUCGGUGAGCUGCUGUCCUUCCUCCGUUUCUGGUUUUCACGAGCAAGAAACAAGAAGAAGGGGAGCUUUCGGUCACGAGGGGGAGUGGGGGAGAAGAGAGAGGAGAGAGAAGAAGAGAUAAUGGUUGAAAAGUCAAAUGGGGAAGAGAAAGCAAAGUAGAAAACGGCAAGGGAAAAGGAGAGAGAGUCGGCCUGGGGAGGGGGUGUCCGCACGAAGGAAAAAGGAGGGAAGAGAGAAAAGAGAGAAAGAAAAAGGGAGAGAAAAGAAGAGAGAGGGAGAGAGAGAAAAACAAAAUAAAAUAAUAUCCUUGCUCUUAUUUUAUUUUUCUUUUCUCUUUUCCACUCUAAUUUCUUUGGAUCUUCGAUUUUUCCUCCGAUAAUUUCUUUCCUGAAAUUUCGGGCUCGUCAAUAAUUUGACGGACGAUGAGACGGUCCUAAAAAUGAAUUGUGACACGCUCGAAUAUUCGAUUCUCAAAACCAAAUGAAAUUUCAUGAUUAAAAUCAAUCGGACGCGAUUUUAGUCCAAUCCAACAAAUUAGGUAGCUUUUAGGGAUUUUACCGCGGAUAUAUCCCUUAACAGCUUCACCCAAUAGGUUAGUUAACUCAUGAAUGAUCAGUUCAGAGAAAAAGGACCAUAGGCGCGCCGACAAUAUGCACAUUUCAUUUUAUCGAAACGAGGUCGAAUUUCAGGAUGUCACAGUCUAGCAUUUCGGAAAACCCAUUUCCCUCAAAGGUAUUUACAUUCUCCCAGGAGCAUUUCCCCAAAGCUGAACCAAAUGGGCCUAAAAGCUGGAGCUUGCAAGGGAUUGCAAGAGCAAGAACCUGAAAAAACAUAAUCAGCACAUGGCAUUACGUUGUGUCUGGUCCACAGCCAAAGCUACUGUACGGGUUGCCGAGGCUAUAGUGACCAGAAUUUGAUCGCUAUCCUCCUUCAGGAUGAUACACUCGACUUACAAGUUCUUGGAGAUGGAAAAUGGGUUGCUUUCAAUCCCAUUCCCAGCACUUUCGUUCCAACAUAGUAAAAGAAAAAUAAAAGGUUGAGAUGGAAGUUGCGCAUUUUUUUACUCAAGCUGGAGAUCAAAAGUGUACAUUUAAUUGAAGAAAAUAACAAUAAAUAAUCACAGUAGAUGGAUCGGUUCCAUCUUUUUGUCAAAUCUACAUACAAGUACUAGACCACGCUUUAGAGCCAUGGUGAACAACUGUCACGACCUAACCUCAGGUGUUCCACCUAAGGUUUGGCUAAUGGACUGAAUUUUAUCAAAGAGUCGCCACUAAUCAGUUUAUAAUAGAUCGAUCAGACACAUGAGUAUAACUCUUACGAACUGGAUAAAUUGGGUACGAGAACUUGAUUACACUAGAUUUAUCUAAUACUCUUUUGGUACCAUUCUUUUUAUUUUCAACAAUUAUCUUUGCGGGCAAUCUGGAUUGGUUUUAACCUAAAUCAUUGUGAUGCAAUGGGGUGAUUACGCGAAUGCACAACCAUUAUUAAACAUUCAAUGAAUCAAAUAAAUUGCAUUAAAAGAAUUAUACACACAAAGCAAGCAAUUUUUUUUUUUUUGUAUUUUCUUAUCUUGAAAUUAGAACUUUACUAUAUGACGUGCGCUUUAACUAUAUGACCUAACUCUAUUGACAAGCAAUUUCUAAUCAAAUGAACUUAAUAUACAGACUAUUUGACAUGCACCUAAUAUUUUUUGUAUUUUUUAUUAAAAUUCGUAAUAAAAAAAACCUAAUUAAACUAUCUAAAAUGAAUAAUUUUCUAGUCUAUUUUAGGGACUAAUUUGACUUAACCAUGUCCUAUCUUGGAAAACUAUAUUAGACCCUAUCUAUAUAUAAUAUAAAAAAAAUGUUUUUUAGAUUCUAUCCUAAUCUGUUACAAAAUUAUCUAAGCGUGCAAUUAAAAAAAUGAAAUCCUAAUUUAUGAAGGCAUCAUAUUCCGAUGCAAGAUUUGAUUUUUUUAGUAUUUUCCAAAACAAGCAAUCAUCAUAUAUAGGCAUUAUAUCCAAGCUACUCAAGAUAUUCAUCAAAUGAAGGGUUAGCAUAAUUGAAAAAAUUCACAGAUUAAAUUAACAAUUAUUCUAAUCCCAAACAUCACAACAUGUAAAAAAGUUCAAAAUAAUUAAAAAUUUAAUUUGAAAUCUUACGGAUCAAAUUAAUAAUUAUACUGAAUUAAAAGUUAAAAUACUAUCAAAGUGCCAAAAAAUCAAUAUAAUUAAAAAAAAUAUCCGACAUUUUACGGAUCGAAUUAGUAAUUGUAGUGAUUUCUAGAUGACAAUACCCUACAAAUAAUGCCUAAAACAUUCAUAUAAUCAACAUUAGCAUCGAGUGUUCCAAUUUAAGCCAUAAUACCGAAACUUGAUUUAAGAAAAAUUACCUUGACUGCAUUUUAAUUCUCUAAAAGGACCGGUGCUGGGAUUCGCAAAUGACGAUUUGCGUCGGGGUCGGCUUAGUGAUAGCGGGUGGUAGGAAUGCAACAGCAGCUCCCGGUCAAGCUCGUCGCGGCUUUGUGAUGGCAGCUCAGGCGCAGCAACUCAAGAGGAAGGGCUGGUAGGCUAGCGAGCAGGCCGGUGUCGGGCCAACGGGCUCAGGACAGCGGGGCUUGCAGCUGGGGGGUGCUCGGGAGCGCGGCGACGGGCGGCGUUCAGCGAGGAUCAGCCAACAGCGCGACGGGAGGAGGCGCGGCGCGCGGUGACGGGCGAGCUUCAGCGCGGCGACGGGGGACGGGCGAACGUCGACGCGGCGACGGGUGGAGCGCGGACAGGCGGAGGAGCGGCGACGGGUGCAGCGACCGGCAGGGCGCGGCGACGAGUGCUGUAGGUUGCGGGCGCCGGGCGGAGGGCAGCAGUAGCGACGGCUUUAGGAGCUCCGGCGACGAGCGGGCGGACUGCUGCGGCUUCAGCGACGGAGCUCGCCGGUAGGAGGGAGGCGGCGGCGAAUCAGCAGCUGCCAGGAGCCGGGGGAACCUGAAGAAGACGACCUCUCCUCUCUCUCUCUCUCUCUCUCUUUUUUUCUUCUUUUUCUCUACGUCUCGCGUCCACUCUCUCCUUCUCUCUCUGUACUUUGCUGACUCCUCCUUUUCUCUGCACUUUGUAGAGAAGAAGAAAAGGUGGCUACCUUUUGUUGACUUCUAUGGAUGAGGGAGAUGGACGAGGGAGAGACUCUUUUUUUCACGAAUUGUGACCCCCCUUUCCGUCCGUAAUCGAGCCCUCUUUUAUAGGCCAAGAAAGGAUUUUAUUUGAAUGUUUCAUUUCAUUUUUCAACUUUUCCCAGCUGCCCAUAUCAGCUUCAAAUUUCCUUUUCUCAAUAUGCAUGAAAAUCAAUUUUUGCUCGCUCAUAACCUCCUGAAUAUAUCGUCGAUACACAUGCACUUACGUGCAAUAUCCUCUUUUAUCUCUUUUCAAUAUUUCAUCCGAAACCUUUAUUUUUGCCAAGUAAUAUCUCCCGGCAUAUCAUCCAAUAUUGUAAGAAUAGAACAAAUCCUUUCCAAAAUAUAUCUAUCUUCAAAUCAUAAAAUUAACGCUCAUUUAUCGUCAGUCAAUCCAAUGCAAAUGCAAUAAAACAAAUAAUAUAAACUAAAUAAUGAAUGCUUCUAAAACUAUAUGUUAUUUUUGUUUAGGGGUUAAAAAUUAAUCCAUAAUUUUUAAUGCGAUAAAUAAAUGACUAGGUUGCCAAAAUUUGAGUGUCAAUAGCUGUGAUCGGCAAAAAUAUCCAUCCCGAAAUUUCAUUGCCCAUCUCCAAAUGCACUUAUUAGACAUGCUCGGGACUUGAUUGAUUAUGAACGUCCUGCUAUCUACAAGACCUUUACAUACGAAGAUUACUAUCACAGAUUAUGGGAUGGAGGCUUAGCUCUGAGUGUUGCUCAGACAUGUUCAAGACACCCUCGGCUUAGCGUUUAUUUAAAACUUUCAUAUGAUUCCGAAUCUAGUACCGGGUCUAAGAUGAAACUGAGAAUAUGUGUCUAUUUCUUUACCGGUUAUUAUUAUUAUUAUUAUUAUUAUUUUGGUCGAAAAAAGAGUUUCAUUCUUAAUCAAAGAUUUAAUAGAUACCCAAUUAGAAGGGAGGGUGUUUUAGAUUUGGAUUUUGACCACCCAAUCUGCUACCUUAUGUUGGGUCUGCGAGCAAAGGGCCAGCCGAAGGCCUUUACUGCUGAUAAGGACAUAGUGACAUUCCUCGAUUAACCCAUCGUUUGAAAGGAUUUUAAGUGAGGGAAGAAAAAGGUAGUAAAGAAAUAAAGAUAAAGAAAAUUGAGAUAGAAAGAUAAAAAAAUAAAAAAUAAAUAAAACAGUUUGUUUAUUGUUGUUUGGAAUGGGAGGAAAGCGAAGUGUAAACAAAUGAUUGAGAUCUGAAAUGUGUUGUUGGAAAGACGUGGGAAAUGAAGGAAAAAACGAAUUUUAUGUGAAUUUACCAUUUUUCCCUCCCAUUAAAGAUAACGACCAAUUUUAUUUUGUAAAAAAGAAGGAUAAAUUUGAGAUUGUGCACAUCCUAUGAGAAUAAAAUAGGUUGUACUCUUCAUAUUGAAAUUGAUGAAAACCACUUGAUUUCCAAUAAAAAAUAAGUAUGGACACAUAGAUUCGCAAUUUGAACUUGUUGACGUUAAAAAAUUUCAAGUUCCUAACCGUCAACUCAGAUUGGAAUAGAUUGAACAAGGCACGAUUGACAUAAAUUUUGUUAAAUCUUUUUGGUUGGUAACUACAAAUAAUCGACAAAGGUGAUGAGAAGUUGCUAUCAAGCUACAGAAAAUUAUUUAGUGUUGAGUCACGAAAUGUUGAUAAACGACGCUCGGUUCAAUUGAUAGAAAAAUUAAAGUUGAAGUGAAGAUGGAUAAAUCAAUAAAAAGAUAAAUGUGUCAUGGAGCCAAAAUUUCGACUACAAUCAUAACGACCCAUUCAAUGAUGAAGCCAGCGCGAUCACCAUUAUAUGGAGCCGAAAAUCUAAAAAGCCCCAAAUAAUAAUAAUGGUCGAGAAAUGUAGGCUAUUAUAAAGGGCGGGAAAAGAAGUUACAAGCUGCAGAAGAAACUAGCGGCCUUGGGCGAAUGAUGAGGAAUAUUCAAACUACAAAUGACCAAAACAUUAGAGUUUCUCAUAUAUUACUUUCUUGGGCUCCCAUUAAAAUGUAUCUACAGAUUUAUAGACAGCGGCUGACGAUGAAAUUACUGCCCACCUCGAGAUAUUUAAGUUUGAUCUCAUUCGUCGACAUUGGAUCAAUUUUUAUCGCGGCUAAGCAUCAAAAGGCGAAACGAAUUGUCCUUUGUCACUCCUGUCGCUUUUAAUAUUUUUGUCCUCGAAACUCGAUAUGGAGAAGAUCUGUCGUGGCCAUCAUCGUCGCCCAAUCUCGCCAUCUCAAUGCGUACGAAAGAAGCUAAUGACGGGCAAAGUUCUCGUUGGCGUGGUUAAGUACAGCUCUUACCUGGGCAAUUUACAAGCUGACGUCGGCGACCCCCACGUAAGCAUGAUCACGUCAUCGUCCUUUUUUAAGUCAAUGAUUAAUGGUGAGAAUGAGAACGGACGAAUAGUUCUCGUCUCCCUUUCAAACGACGCCUAACUGCAUCGAGAGCUCAUCUUCACAUUGGCUGACAUAGGGCUGGUGACAUCUUCACCUACGUAGGCUUAUCUCCUGCACUAUCAACCUUCUAGUCGUUUGGAUGGGGAGUACACGGAUCUGCCAGAAUGGGUCAUGUUUUCUCUAUAAAUGCAGACUCCCUCAAGUUCUGUGUCCAGCAAAAAGAUAUAUCAUUUGCAGUGCUGAGCAGGAUGGCUACGCCCGCCACUAAGCUCUUGCUCAUCGACCGCGUGCCCAACAAUUACAUCUGGCCCCAGGCUGACCGCCCUAACCUCACUGAGGUCGAGGCCUCAGAUGCCUCCACCAUCCCACUAAUUGAUCUCCAAGGCCUCUUUGGUCCCAACCGUGAUGAUAUUAUCAGACAGAUUGGUAAAGCAUGUCAACAAGAUGGUUUCUUUCAGGUACGGCAUAAGAAUAUUACAGUGCGGGUUAGCUAAAAAAAUGCUAAUUAAGCAAAAGGGUAUCAAUUAAAACUUGAUGGAUGCGAUCAUCCCAUAAUGAGUUUUUGCUUUGUCUCAUGUGGUUCUGCUCAACAUUUUCUUUGGCAGAUCAAGAACCAUGGGAUACAGGAAGAGAUGGUGCAGGCCAUCAUGAACAUAGCGGGGGAAUUUUUCCGGUUGCCAGAGAGCGAGAGGCUGAAGAAUUACUCCGAUGACCGGUCGGAAUCGACCAGGCUCUGGACUAGCUUUAAUAUCAAGACCGAGAAGGUGUCUUACUGGAGAGAAUUCUUGAGACUCCUUUGCUACCCUCUUGAAGAAUACAUGCAUGAGUGGCCGACGAAUCCUCCAUCGUUCAGGUAAGAAACAAAGCUACCCUCAUGUUAUUUAUUUAUUUUGACUCAAAUAUUCAACAUUAAUUAUUUAAUAUAUCUUUUCGAUUGGAAUGCAUCACUGGCUACGGAACGAACUUGUGUAUCCUUAAAAGAUCCACAAUGAGUUCAAUUAUCACUAUCAUCACAUGUAAGCAAUUUUUUUUUGGAUCAUUCAUUCAAAUCAUGGCUCGAUCUUAUUUGAUCCACAAGAUUUCUGGCUAUUUUACAAGCCCAAGAUUUUUAUCAUAUCAGGUGGAGCUUUUUUCUAAAUAGAAAGACGGGAAAUAUGUAGACACGCAUGAUUUUUGUAACAUCGAAUGUUGAAGAUUCCCGUUGAUCAUAAGGAUUUCACAAGCUUUCACCAGUUAAGUUUGGAAAAUUAAAAGCUUGACCACUGUAAUUUCUAAAGUCUGAUAUUAGCUAAACAAAAAGAUUGAAAGAGAAGAAUCUCUCAACCGAAGAAAUGUAGGACCCAAGAAAAUAAGGGGAAGAGCCUAUUUUUCACCAAUAGACAAUACUGAUCCACGUGGAAUGUCAGCCAGUCAAGAAAAAGAAAGUAGUACUUUCCAGUGAUUUAUUAUGACUACCCCCGUUGCGGAAGUUAGAAAGAGCAUGCCUAAAAGUUCUCGAUUUUUUCGCCAAACUUCAAGUGUCUUGGCUUGUUGGCACACUUUAACUGCAUUGCCGGUUCAAUCUUCUUGACUAGCAGGAAGGAGGUGGGAGAGUAUUGCACAAGAGUAAGAGAACUGGCGCUCAAACUGUUGGAAGCCAUAUCAGAAAGCCUGGGGCUUGAAAGGGAAUACAUAAGCGAGAACUUGGGCAAGCAUGGUCAGCGGAUGGCUAUGAACUACUAUCCACCAUGCCCACAGCCCGAGCUCACUUACGGGUUGCUCUGCCACACCGAUCCGAAUUUGAUCACCAUCCUUCUUCAGGACGACGUGCCUGGUUUACAAGUCCUUAGAAAUGGAAAAUGGAUUGCUGUCAAUCCCAUCCCCAACACCUUCAUUGUCAACAUGGGAGAUCAAAUGCAGGUACUUUGGCUACAUUCUUUUGAAACAUGUCCGAGGAUGAGACGCUAAAGCUAAUAAGGAGAAUUUGGUACAACAUAUCAUAAAAACAGGAAGGAGCGCCUUUUUUUUUAGCUUAGUGAAAGAAACAAAACUUGCAUGAUUGUUCUGGCUGAUGAAGAUUGAUUCCAUCUUUUUGCACAAGUUCAUCAUUUGUUUUCCCAACAAGUCUUGGAACUGGACAUGUUUUUUUACUGAUUCAGGUCAUUAGCAAUGACAAGUACAAGAGCAUACUUCAUAGAGCAGUGGUGAACUCUGACAGGGAGAGAAUCUCCAUUCCAACCUUUUAUUGCCCAUCACCAGAAGCCCUAAUUGGACCUGCUCAGGGCUUGAUUGACCACGAACAUCCUGCGGUUUACAGGAGCUUCACUUAUAAAGAAUAUUACCACACGUUCUGGAACAAAGGACUUAUGACCGAAUGUUGCUUGGACAUGUUCAAGAUACCCUCGGCUUAGAAUUUAUUCUAAACUUCGAUCUUAGAGUUUUAGCGUUGGUGUGGAGAAAAAUCAGGUUGUUCCAUAUAAAUAAAUUACCGUGUCAAUCUUAAAUUUGGAGCUUUUCUCUCCAAUCUAAUUUUAAAUUUUGGAGUUUUGAUGAGUAAAUACUCCACCUCCUGUUUUAUUGGUGUUUACAGCAGCCUUAAUGUCAAAUAUAUGCUCAUCAACCCAUUUUCGUUUAGAGUUUUGGCACUUCGCAUUGGCUUAAGAGCCCGCUCUCACGAGUGUCAAAUCUGAGUUUUUUAAGCAUGUCUAUGAUGUCCCCAUAUGGUGAUGGUGUUAAGAACACCAAACCUAAGCACACACUAUCGAAAGGCAAAGUCGUAAUUAUAGAUGAAGAUCCAAGCAUGUGCUUAUCACUGAUGGUACUGUGAGAUUCGGUGUUUGGCCGCCAAUCAUUUUGUUUAGAUGCAAUCUCAAAUCUAUUAUUAAAAGACAAAUCUGUAAUUAUCUUUGACAAUCAUGCUCUAAUGAAACACCUUGAUUUAUGGUUUUUUGUUUGUUUUAGAGUCUAUGAACUUGCUAUGUUACUUUGACUUUUAAGGUUCCCCUUCAUGUAUCAUUUUGAUAAUGAAUGGAGAUUUCUUAUCAACCCAAAAGAAAAAAAUUCUUAUUGAUAUCAAAUGACAUAAAUGUACAACCUCUGAUUCACAACGCAAUUGGAAACUUUCAAUUCUUUUCCUACUUUAAUAACUCGAUUUAAUAGACAUGCAACCUCUAUUACUUGAUUUUAUCAAUGAUAUCAAAAUAUAUGGAGAAACAUCAGUCCAGAAAGUAUUUUCAUAUUAUUUUCUUUUACAAAUGGAUUUCCAUUAUUAAGUAAUUGAAUAUUGACUGAUUAAAUCAAAUGGCGAGGAGACAUUUUAUAUCUUCAAUGAAAAUUUUCAUCUCUACAUAUGUAACGAUGAUUGGUUAAUGAGAUGCCAUUGGUCUCGAUUAAUGUCAUUGCUGUCCUAUCUCAGAUUUCUCAGUACUCCUAAAAUUCCAUACUCAUACCAGCACUCUUUGCUUCGGCCAACCAAAAUAACAAAUUGAUCUUCUCUUUCGACUGAUCUUGACCUCGAGAAACCUACCAAUUUUGCUGUCAUUUAACUGCAUCUAUUGGUCCAAUUUUAGCUUUAGCGUCCAGUCAUUAGUUUACAUGUAUGUGUAAGUCAAUCUUCAAGAAAACCGACAAAUGAAGGGAGUUAAAAAAAAAGGGCAGGUAAGUAUUUCAAGAUAAAUGUACUUUGAUCACCAAAGUGGCAAGCCUAGUAUUAAUGAGAUACCUUGUAUUUCACAAGAUCGCGAGUUCAAUUCUUGCCGUAAGCGAAUUUCUGAAUAACUUGUAUUAUACUACCUAGUUAUAGCAUAUUUUGUAUAGAUAUACAACUCAACAGAUAGAAUUUUGGUGGGAUGUAGUGAGCUUAUCGAGUGGUCUGAAACUGAAGAAUCCGUGCAAGGUACAGGACCCUUAUGAUAGCCCAAAGGAGGUCGCCAGUGAGCUAACCACCCAAUUUUCAAGAAAAGAGAAGUCUAAUUUGACUUUUUCUUUUUCUUUUUUCUGCUUGUCAUACAUACAUGACUCAUAAGUAUUUUGUUUGUACAUAUCAAAAAGUUAGAAAGAUAUAGAAUUUUUAUAAUAAUUUAAGGACAUAAAUGUAGAGACUCAACUAUUUAAAAGAUCACGUAACUCUCUGAAAGUCCGUGAACCGGUUGAGGUCAACCCUUUAACAUGUGCGUGUGGUCUUAAUCGAGAGUAGCUUUUCAUACAAUCGGUGCUUUCAAAUAAUUGGCCACAUUAUCUUCCCGCGGUCAGAAAGGCAAGGCACAUGGGUUCCUAGCACUUUUGUCCCCGCUGAGCUGCAAUGUCGACAGCAUCAUAAUCGAAUCAGCCAAAGAUACAGCCGAGAAAGGGGCCAUUUCUCUCCACGCUCCAAUCUUUACGGAGCUCCGAUCGCUUUCUAGUCGAUAUACGGCUCAUAUCUUGCCCAUCAAGGUGCCCUCGUUCUUCAUCCGCUCUUUCGGCCCGUUUUGAUCAUCAUUUCCAAAUGCGUGCUGACGUAGGCGUGCGCUUUUAUAUACAUUGCGAUUAAGCGAUUUAGACACGUUUGUUUUAAUCUUUCUUCAAAGUGUAAAACUAUGGGAAUACAUUUAUGUUUGAAUUUUUCAUGGUGGAUAACUAUACUUUUUCAGCUACAAAGUGCCCUCCCCCAUUUCCCCUCCCCUACCNNNNNNNNNNNNNNNNNNNNNNNNNNNNNNNNNNNNNNNNNNNNNNNNNNNNNNNNNNNNNNNNNNNNNNNNNNNNNNNNNNNNNNNNNNNNNNNNNNNNGAUCAACAUAACAGUGAGACAACACGUUCUCAUCUUGUCUCGGGUCCACCUUCUUCUCCGACGACCGACUGUGCCUACGCUCACGACCGCUGGAACCCUAGCCACAGCCGAAUCAAUCGAUCGUCGACGCCCGUCGACGCGCCUCCGCCUCGCCGUCUCCGUCGCCACCCCUCGUCUCAACGCCAGAACCCUAGCCGCCGCCGAAUCUGUCGAUCGUUGCCGACGACGCUAAGGAGGAGGACGAAUCGGCUCUCGACCCCGAGCUCCGAUACAGCUUCCAGUGGAAUUUCAAGGUUCGCUUCUCCCCUGUAGUCCUCGAUUACGCUCUACAUAGGUUUGAUCCGCUGCUUCUUGAUUGCCUGGGUUUUCGUUUUCGUUUUGUUUCCUGCGAGUUGUUUGGUUUUCAUGUCGAGCGAGUGCGGCAGUUCUUGUUCUGCCGAAAUUUAUAGCUAAAAUGAUUGAUGGGUUUCUCUGCGUCGUCUUCUUUAGCUUUGGAUGAUUUCGGGAAAUGGGGUGAGUCGUCUGGUGGAGUUGGAUUUAGGAAGCUGAACAAGAAUCGGAGAGUUGCCGUCGGAUUUGUGUAAUUGGUGUUUGCCAAGAAAAGAAGAGAUUCGGCAGCUUGACUUCUGAGAGAGCAUCUUUUCUCUCUUUCCAGGAUUAGGCUAGAAUGAAAAAACUGCGAAGAUGCUCGCGAGAGAGAAAAAGUGCUGCAAAAUGUGCCGUCUUUUUGUGCUAAUUAGGUGAUGUGAGUUGUCAGGAGUAUACUUGUUUAUCAUGGAAAUGUGAUUCCUUUUUACUGGAGAGCGGAAGGCUGUGAAUUGAAGUUAGAUCUUGCGCAUAAGUUUAAGUACCCCACUUCUGAUUUUCGUGUCUCUGAAAAGAAGCAAUUUCACAUGUAACAACAAAUAAGACACAACAACUUGACAAAUUAAUUUAGGUUCAUAUCCCACAUGACAUGAGUGAUAUCCAUAAUGGAAGCAGAUAGCGCAUAUUUUUUUAUCGCAAACAGACUGGGAUCUACAAUCACAAAAGAAAGUUCAUUUUUACAAUGCAAAGGGAAGUAGAAACAGAGGACUAUAUUUUCUUUAUAUGACAUACCUCCCUGUUUAUUGACUCUCCCUUGAAAGCCACAUUCUACUCCUUGGCGAAACACCACCCAAUCCUGACAGAACAAAGCAUAGCUGAAUUGUACUUUAAACAAAACAACAAACAAUAGAAAAGAAGAAGAGCAGACAAAGAACUUAUCAUAGACUCUCACAAAACCAUCAACCAAUUUAUUGGUACACGAGUGCUUUCUUUCGUGUUACUUAUUGAUGUCUUGUUAGACUGGUAGCUGGAGUUCCAUCAUAAUUAUCUGGUAUACAUUGAGAUAAGCAUUCCUAUUCUCAAUGGAAGUUCCAAGUCGCGGACAUCUUAAUUUUGUUGUUUAUGUAAUUGAAGCAAAAAAGGUCUUUGUAGAUAAUCUAGUUUUUUUCUAGAUGAAGUUGCUAAAUUACUGUUUUUGUUUAAAUAUAUUAGCCAUUGUGGCAGAUUCUUUACUUUGUAGAUAGAGUAAUGGGAAAUGAAUUUAUAGUAAGAGGAUGUAUGUUGAUCAGAUUUACUUUGUUUGGAAGAACAGAAUGUUAACUAGGCCUCCUCCUCAUGCGUCGGUGGAGAUCGACUAUUAGUUUUGUCCUCCCUUUUUGGCAUGUUUGGUACAUUGAAAACAGAUAUGUUUUCUUUUCCAGGUUCAAAGUGAUCAUUUCAAGGAGUUUUUCGCUCUUGAAUUAGACAAACAUGGUUAUGAAGCUUUAUACAAGAAAAAAACGAUCGAGUUUAUUCAUGGACUUCUCCUUUUAUGUUGUCUUAGGUUUCACGUCAUUUUAUUUAUUUAUAUGUCCAUUGUCUGCAGGUUUAUGGUGGGAAUAUCAAUACAAUAGAUGGUUGUGCUACAUUUUUUCACAAGACAGGUUUCUAAUGUAAAAAAUACGAGGUAAAAGAGUUGCUGCAUUUGAUGUCUUCUCCAUCUCUGUAUCAUCAGAAGCUAAAGGCUUCAAUGUGUCUAUGCAGGUUGCAGCAGAGUCCUUGACAGAAGCAUUGGUUCCAAGCACCUAGAAGAAAGUUGCUUUAAAUCGAUUAAUUAAGAUUGAGAAGCUUCGUGACGAAGAACUGCAGCCUCAAAUUCUCAAGCUUUUAAAAGGAUUUAACGAACCCCCCCAAAAAAAAAAAAAAAAAAAAAGCAACCCAACCCUACCCGACCCGACCCGACCCAUUGACACCCCUACCCACAUACUUCUGCUAAAUUUAAUAAGUUGGGACAUUACAGGAUGAAGAAAUAGGUUCGGGUCUCCUAGGGUGAGUUUGGUAACAAUUUUGUUUCUGAUAAUAGAUUAUGAUAAAAAAAAAUGAUUAUUUUUUAUUCUAUUCUCAGUAACAAUUUCUAAAUAUUUUAAAUCGUUUGGUGACUGUUCAAAAUUUUUUUAUUCUAGCAUAAAAUUGUGUUUAGUACUGUACUCAUUGAUUCUGUUCCAAAUCAAUUUAUUUUAAUUUUUAAACAUUUUUUUUUACUUUUUUUCUUUUCUUUUUUUCCUUUUUUUCUCUUAUUCUUCUUCUUCUUCUUCUUGUGGCCAACGACCUCACCGAAGUAUCGCCGGCUCUCUACGAGACCUGCCGAGCCUCGCCGGGGCUGGGCGAGGCCCGCCUAGCCACCAGCGAGGCUCACCCAGCCCCGUCUGGCCACCAGCGAGGCUGGGCGUCGUGAGGCUUGCCCAGCCCCGACAAGACUAGGCGUUGCGAGGCUUGCCUAGCCUUGCCAGUGGCUAGGCUUGCCUCCAGCAAGCUCGCUGGACCGAUUGCCAACAACUAGUUGACAGCGAUGACGGCGACGAACUACAGACGGCAGACGGCGGAAGGCGAUCGUAAGAUGGCGGUAGAUGAAGAAGAAGAAAAGAGAAGAAGAAGAAGAAGAAGAAGAAGAAGAAGAAGAAGAAGAAGAAGAGAAAAUGAAACAAGACUUAAUUCUUAGAUUUAUUCCCGAAACAAUAAUCAAUUUUUAUUUUUUUUAUUCUUGAUUCUACUUCAAAUCUGUUCCCGGGAACAAAAAUUUUACCAAACGCGAUUUUGUUUCGAAGCUGCUCCUGAGAACAAAAAAUCAAAAUCAGUUACUGUUGGGAUGGUUAUCAUACAGCACCCUAGAGUAUAGUGAGAUUCGAGUUUCUGAUGCUCUGUCCCUAACAGUAAAGGGGCUGAUUAUCGACACUUAAUUGCUGAGGCCCAAUCUCCAUCCCAAUUAAAUGACCCUAGUCCUAAUGCUUAAUUGGAUCCCCGCUAACAGCAGUGUCGGGGCAACCCAUGAGAUGUGAAAUGAAAGCUGCUAGCCCCACGGUUGCCUUCGUGGCAACAAUUCUGGAGUACCAGACAACCGAGGUACUCGAGCUCACUGGGCAACGCAAACAAAAGACCUGAAGGCGAAGAGGAUGACCAUCGAGUUGUUCAUGUGACAAAUUGUGACGAACGCUCGGGAGUAUCUUCUGGAUUUCUGCCCCAAAAAAUAGACUUUCCAUGUCAAGCUGGCCAGCUCCGAGUCUCGGACAAGAGAGAAUUGGACCCGUCGGUCUGGUGAGGAGUGACCGGUGUCGAUGAUCGACUUACAUUAAAAGUUUUCACACCGCCUCUCAGCAUGAGCAACGCGGUAGGGCAAAAGAUGACGAGGAUGCAAUGUUAGUGGAAUUUCAGUAUUUCCGCGAUGAAAAUUUUCAUAAGGCUAUUACAACUCUCUGCAUCUCCCAAGUAUACAGUAAGGCUAUUACCACUUUCUUGCUACUCUAGUCUCUCACAAAGGGGUGCAUUGGCAUUCAGGAAUCACAGAAUAAGUUUCACACUGCCGUCUUAACUCAUGAGAGAGACAUUUGCCACCUUCGCAGGAUGGAUCCUUUGCCAUUGCUCCUGCAUACUUAGCGCAAGCGAAUGUGGUGGAAAGGGAAUUACCGGAGGAAUGAAUGCGAAAUGAGGAACCGAAGGAAUACUAACGAAAUGAGGCAUGGAAAUGUAUGAGCUAGUGUGCAGAAAUUUUGUGGCAAUCCAGAAUCAUUUGACUCUAAUAUCGAAUAUGCACCCCAAAAGGAAAAAUGACUAAUACGAUCCAUUCCAUUUAGGAUGCUCACUCCGUUGUUAAAUAUUUUCUACCUAGCGAGAGAAAAAGAGUCCAGGCUGCAAUCGCAAUUCGCAUCCCAGCCCUGAUUCAGCAUAUGCUAAACAUCUACUCGAGAUCAAUUAACACAGGCAAUAUAAAAGCAUGGGUAGCAUGUCCAAAAGUUGCGAACAAGGGCCGUGCACACUGCAUUUUAUACAUGGUGAAAGGUUUCAUGUCCACUGGACAAUUAAGAGAUGAAAUUUAACCUCAGUGUUGAUCCAGCUGGCUUCUCAAGGAAACAUAGUGUAGGUGCUCAUCAUCUUUGUGAUCGAGAAAAGUUGAAUCACCAGAUCCUUCAAACAUCUCCACAUAUAUUCAGUGCAUCGAUGCCUAACUACAGAUGGGUCAUCUCACUAGCUCAACAUCUACUCACGCUCUAUCUGAAUAGU